UGCCAGCAGCCGCGGUAAUACGGAGGGUGCGAGCGUUGUUCGGAAUUACUGGGCGUAAAGCGCGUGUAGGCGGUCUCCUAAGUCUGGUGUGAAAUCCCAGGGCUCACCCCUGGAAGUGCAUUGGAUACUGGGAGACUAGAGUACCGGAGAGGAGGGUGGAAUUCCUGGUGUAGCGGUGAAAUGCGUAGAUAUCAGGAGGAACACCGGUGGCGAAGGCGGCCCUCUGGACGGAUACUGACGCUGAGACGCGAAAGCGUGGGGAGCAAACAGGAUUAGAUA
rnacentral:rRNA from 1 species